UCUUCCCUUUGGUGAGGAAUAACACGAGGAAACUUGUGCUAAUACCUCAUAAGUCUUUACGGAGAAAGCUUUAUGCGCCGAUGGAUGAGCCCGCACUUGAUUAGUUAGUUGGUAGGGUAAUGGCCUACCAAGACUUUGAUCUAUAGCUGAUCUGAGAGGAUGAUCAGCCACAUUGGGACUGAGACACGGCCCAAACUCCUACGGGAGGCAGCAGUAGGGAAUAUUGCACAAUGGAGGAAACUCUGAUGCAGCGAUGCCGCGUGAGUGAAGAAGGCCUUUGGGUUGUAAAGCUCUUUCGUCGGGGAAGAAAAUGACUGUACCCGAAUAAGAAGGUCCGGCUAACUUCGUGCCAGCAGCCGCGGUAAUACGAAGGGACCUAGCGUAGUUCGGAAUUACUGGGCUUAAAGAGUUCGUAGGUGGUUAAAAAAGUUGGUGGUGAAAUCCCAGAGCUUAACUCUGGAACUGCCAUCAAAACUUUUUAGCUAGAGUAUGAUAGAGGAAAGCAGAAUUUCUAGUGUAGAGGUGAAAUUCGUAGAUAUUAGAAAGAAUACCAAUUGCGAAGGCAGCUUUCUGGAUCAUUACUGACGCUGAGGAACGAAAGCAUGGGUAGCGAAGAGGAUUAGAUACCCUCGUAGUCCAUGCCGUAAACGAUGUGUGUUAGACGUUGGAAAUUUAUUUUCAGUGUCGCAGCGAAAGCAUUAAACACACCGCCUGGGGAGUACG
rnacentral:rRNA from 1 species